rnacentral:rRNA from 1 species
AUUGAACGCUGGCGGCAUGCCUUACACAUGCAAGUCGAACGGUAACAGGUCUUCGGAUGCUGACGAGUGGCGAACGGGUGAGUAAUACAUCGGAACGUGCCCGAUCGUGGGGGAUAACGAGGCGAAAGCUUUGCUAAUACCGCAUACGAUCUCAGGAUGAAAGCAGGGGACCGCAAGGCCUUGCGCUCACGGAGCGGCCGAUGGCAGAUUAGGUAGUUGGUGGGAUAAAAGCUUACCAAGCCGACGAUCUGUAGCUGGUCUGAGAGGACGACCAGCCACACUGGGACUGAGACACGGCCCAGACUCCUACGGGAGGCAGCAGUGGGGAAUUUUGGACAAUGGGCGCAAGCCUGAUCCAGCCAUGCCGCGUGCAGGAUGAAGGCCUUCGGGUUGUAAACUGCUUUUGUACGGAACGAAAAGACUUCUUCUAAUAAAGGGGGUCCAUGACGGUACCGUAAGAAUAAGCACCGGCUAACUACGUGCCAGCCGCCGCAGUAAAAC